GAUGAACGCUGGCGGCGUGCCUAAUACAUGCAAGUCGAGCGAACAGACGAGGCGCUUGCUCCUUCCACGUUAGCGGAGGACGGGUGAGUAACACGUAGGUAACCUCCCUAUCAGACUGGGAUCACUUCGAGAAACCGGCGCUAAUACCGGAUAAUAUUUCGAACCGCGUGGUUCGAUGGUAAAAGAUGGCUUUGCUAUCACUUAUAGAUGGACCUGCGCCGUAUUGGCUGGUUGGUACGGUAACAGCUUACCAAGGCAACCAUUCGUAGGCGACCUGAUAGGGGGGUAGGCGACAUGGGAGCGGAGACACGGUCCAGACGCCUACGGGAGGCAGCAGUAUGGAAUCGGCCGCAAUGGGCGAAAGCAUUACGGAGCAAGGCCGCGUGAGUGAUGAAGGUCUUCGGAUCGUAAAACUCGGUUAUUAGUUAAGAACAAACGUGGAAGUAACUGUGCACGUCGUGACGGUACCUAAUCAGAAAGCCACGGCUAACUACGUG
rnacentral:rRNA from 1 species